rnacentral:rRNA from 1 species
UACGUAGGGUCCGAGCGUUGUCCGGAAUUAUUGGGCGUAAAGAGCUCGUAGGCGGUCUGUUGCGUCGGUUGUGAAAACCUGGGGCUCAACUCCAGGCCUGCAAUCGAUACGGGCAGACUAGAGUUCGGUAGGGGAGACUGGAAUUCCUGGUGUAGCGGUGAAAUGCGCAGAUAUCAGGAGGAACGCCGGUGGCGAAGGCGGGUCUCUGGGCCGAAACUGACGCUGAGGAGCGAAAGCGUGGGGAGCGAACAGG